CAGGUGCUGGGCGACGGCGGCCACACCGGAGUGCGCCGGGUCGACGGUCCACGGCCCCGGCGGCGGCAGUUCGGUGCCGCCCUGCCUGGCCA
rnacentral:tRNA from 1 species